rnacentral:rRNA from 1 species
UACGUAGGUGGCAAGCGUUGUCCGGAUUUACUGGGCGUAAAGAGCGCGCAGGCGGUCGUUCAAGUCGCGUGUGAAAUCUCCCGGCUCAACUGGGAGGGUGCGCCGAAUACUGAGGGACUAGAGUACGGGAGAGGAAAGUGGAAUUCCUGGUGUAGCGGUGAAAUGCGUAGAUAUCAGGAGGAACACCGGUGGUGUAGACGGCUUUCUGGACCGUAACUGACGCUGAAACACGAAAGCGUGGGUAGCAAACAGG